UACGUAGGGUGCAAGCGUUGUCCGGAAUUAUUGGGCGUAAAGAGCUCGUAGGCGGUCUGUUGCGUCCGCUGUGAAAACUCGGGGCUUAACCCCGAGCCUGCAGUGGAUACGGGCAGACUAGAGGUAGGUAGGGGAGAAUGGAAUUCCCGGUGUAGCGGUGAAAUGCGCAGAUAUCGGGAGGAACACCGGUGGCGAAGGCGGUUCUCUGGGACGGUACUGACGCUGAGACGCGAAAGCGUGGGGAGCGAACAGG
rnacentral:rRNA from 1 species